rnacentral:rRNA from 1 species
GUCUUUUAGAGUUGUAUUUAAAGUCUGACCUGCCCACUGAUUUUAUUUAAAUGGCCGCAGUAUUCUAACUGUGCAAAGGUAGCAUAAUCAUUAGUCUUUUAAUUGAAGGCUGGUAUGAAUGGUUGGACGAAGUAUAAGCUGUUUCAUAUAAAUUUUUAUUAGAAUUUUAUUUUUUAGUUAAAAAGCUAAAAUAAAAUUAAAAGACGAGAAGACCCUAUAAAUCUUUAUAUUUAAUUAUAUUUAAUUUUAUUAUUGAUUAAUUUUAUUUUUAUAUUUUUAAUUAUUUUGUUGGGGUGAUAUUAAAAUUUAAUGAACUUUUAAUUUUUUUUUAUCAUUAAUUUAUGAAUUAUUGAUCCUUUAUUAGUGAUUAUUAGAUUAAGUUACUUUAGGGAUAACAGCGUAAUUUUUUUUGAGAGUUCAUAUCGACAAAAAAGUUUGCGACCUCGAUGUUGGAUUAAGAAAUAUUUUUAGGUGUAGCUGUUUAAAUGUUAAGUCUGUUCGACUUUUAAAUUCUUACAU